UUCGAACCCCGGCUCCUCACCUGCAGGGGAGUCGCUUCACAGGCGGUGAAGCAGGUCUGCAGGUGUCUAUCUCUCUCCUCCUCUCUGUCUUCCCCUCCUCUCUCCGUUUCUCUCUGUCCUAUACAACAACGACGACAACAACAAUAAUAACUACAACAAUAAAACAACAAGGGCAACAAAAGGGAAUAAAUAAAAUAAAAUAUUUAAAAAAAAAAAGAAAGUUCCAGGGGUGGGGUUACAUCAAUUAAUUUCUGUUAAUUGACACUUAACGUAAGAUCUCUCCAUAGAUCUCUCUCUCUCUGUGACACACACACACACACCUCUCUCUCUCUUUUUCUUUCUCUCUAAACUCACCAAUGAUUCAGAUCUGUGCUCUGCCUUGUAGGAGAAUUUACCGCAGAAGCCACAGUACAUGGCAACAGUCCUGAGCUGGGGGCAAAAGGUACUCUCUGUCCACAACCCUCUCCAGGUAGUGAGGAGGGGGGAAGAGCCAGAGAAAGAUGAGAGAUGAUCACAGCAUCACUUCACUAUCCUUGAAGCAGCCCAUGCUAUCCAUGCUGCUCCCGUGUGGGAGAGGGAUUUAAAGUCAGGACCUCACACAUGCCAAGGACCCAUAUCCUUAAAGAUGUCUGAUGUUUAAAUGGAAAAGAAUUCCACCAACAUUUUCCUCUAAAUACCUGAUAGUUUCUGGUCUAACACCCAAGUCCUUAGUCAUUUGGAGUUUACUUUUGUUUCUGGUAAGUUGUAGUGGUUCAAUUUCAUUCUUCUGCCUGCUUUCAACCCAAUUUUCCCAACAUUGUUUAUUGAGGAGACUGCUUUCUCCAUUUAAUAGUUUGGGCUCCAUUAUCAAAAAUCAGGUGUCAGGUGUAGGGGUUGAUAUUUUCUUUACUGAUAUUUCUGUCUAAAAUUUUUACUACUGAGAAAGGAUAGUGAAACCUCAAAAUAGAAUUAUAGCUUUAUCUCUCUUUACAUUUCAGUGAGUGCUUUAUAUAUUUCAAAGCCCUGCUAGCAGAGUCACACAUGUUUAGGAUUGGUAUAUCCCCCUGCUGAAAAACUACUUUACUUUGAUGAAAUGGCUAUUUUUAUUUCUGUACAUUUUUGUGCUGAAAUGUACACUACCUUUUAAUAAUGUCAUUACUUUUUUUUCUGAAAAAAUUCUCUAAUCAUUAUAUGUAAUGCAAUCUUUUAAAAGCUUCUAUAUUGGGGCACCUGGUUAAGUUUACACACUACAGGGAAGCCAGGACCCAUGUUCAAGCCCCUGGUCCCCACCUGCAGGGGGAAGCU